rnacentral:rRNA from 1 species
GUCAGAGUUUGAUCCUGGCUCAGAUUGAACGCUGGCGGCAGGCCUAACACAUGCAAGUCGAGCGGCAGCGGGAAAGUAGCUUGCUACUUUUGCCGGCGAGCGGCGGACGGGUGAGUAAUGCCUGGGAAAUUGCCCAGUCGAGGGGGAUAACAGUUGGAAACGACUGCUAAUACCGCAUACGCCCUACGGGGGAAAGCAGGGGACCUUCGGGCCUUGCGCGAUUGGAUAUGCCCAGGUGGGAUUAGCUUGUUGGUGAGGUAAUGGCUCACCAAGGCGACGAUCCCUAGCUGGUCUGAGAGGAUGAUCAGCCACACUGGAACUGAGACACGGUCCAGACUCCUACGGGAGGCAGCAGUGGGGGAAUAUUGCACAAUGGGGGAAACCCCUGAUGCAG